rnacentral:rRNA from 1 species
UACAGAGGGGGCAAGCGUUGUUCGGAAUUACUGGGCGUAAAGGGCGCGUAGGCGGCCUUCUAAGUCGAACGUGAAAUCCCCGGGCUCAACCGGUGGAACUGCGUCCGAUACUGGAAGGCUUGAAUCCGGGGAGAGGGAUGCGGAAUUCCAGGUGUAGCGGUGAAAUGCGUAGAUAUCUGGAGGAACACCGGUGGCGAAGGCGGCAUCCUGGACCGGUAUUGACGCUGAGGCGCGAAAGCGUGGGGAGCAAACAGG